UACAGAGACCUCAAGCGUUAUCCGGAAUCAUUGGGCGUAAAGCGUACCGAUAGGUGGCUUUACAAGUCAGAAGUGAAAUCUCAAGGCUCAACUUUGAGACUGUCUUUUGAAACUGUAAAGCUAGAGGGGCAAAGAGGAAGCUGGAACGAACGGUGUAGUAGUGAAAUGCGUUGAUAUCGUUCGGAACACCAAUAGCGUAGGCAGGCUUCUGGGUGCCACCUGACACUGCUAGGACGAAAGCGUGGGGAGCGAAUGGG
rnacentral:rRNA from 1 species